CAGGCCCUAAACGACGUCGUUUUACGACCUAUAUAUGCAAAAUUUUGAAACCCUAAAAUCAUUUUCCCUCAGCCCCUCUUCUGGUGCGCCGCAAAUUCUCUCAAAGUCUCCUUCUCUGCCGCUCCAACUCCGACCAGACAACGGCGAAAAGAAGCCUUCAAUCGCCUCCAAAAAACGUGGAAUCGGCAUUAUGCGGAGUUGCUGAUCGUGGGUGAAGCGACGUGGGUGAUGGGUGGUUGCUGCAACGUGGGAACGUGCGGCGCUGAGGCUACCUGCUGCUUUAGGGCUUCUGUUACCUUAGGCCAUUUGGGCCUUGUAAUUGGGUUAGGUUGUAAUUUGGGCUUUGGGUCAGUUUUAGUGAGUAUAGUUGGGCCCCGGGCACCAAUUGGGUAUUAAACGGAUAUAACAAGAAGAAGAAGAAGAAGAAGAAGAAGGUAAAAGUCAUUUACCUCUCGUGGAGACGAAAGGCAAGUUCUCUUCCACUGUUACUUCACAAAUCAGACUUUUAUUUAAAGAAAAUGAAAGAAGGGAAUGUAAAUUGUUGCAAAAGUUGAAGAACCAGAGAAAAUAAAAGAAGGGAAAUUAGUAUAAAAGUUUAGAACUAGAGAAAAUGAAAGGGAAAGUAGGAAAAACCAGAGGAAAUUAAAGAAGGGAAACUACUACAAAAGUUUAGAACUAGAGAGAAUGAAAAGGAAAGUAGGAAGAACCAGAGAAGACAAAAGAAGGGAAACUGCUGCAAAAGUUUAGAACUAGAGAAAAUGAAAGGGAAAGUAGGAACUGCUGCAAUAACUUCUUACCAUUGAUGCCUUUAUGAGGAUUGAAAAAGGAAUUCAAUAUUUAAAAGUGUUUUUGGCUCCAGAA